CAAUGGGCGAAAGCCUGACGGAGCAACGCCGCGUGAGUGAUGAAGGUCUUCGGAUCGUAAAACUCUGUUAUUAGGGAAGAACAAAUGUGUAAGUAACUAUGCACGUCUUGACGGUACCUAAUCAGAAAGCCACGGCUAACUACGUGCCAGCAGCCGCGGUAAUACGUAGGUGGCAAGCGUUAUCCGGAAUUAUUGGGCGUAAAGCGCGCGUAGGCGGUUUUUUAAGUCUGAUGUGAAAGCCCACGGCUCAACCGUGGAGGGUCAUUGGAAACUGGAAAACUUGAGUGCAGAAGAGGAAAGUGGAAUUCCAUGUGUAGCGGUGAAAUGCGCAGAGAUAUGGAGGAACACCAGUGGCGAAGGCGACUUUCUGGUCUGUAACUGACGCUGAUGUGCGAAAGCGUGGGGAUCAAACAGGAUUAGAUACCCUGGUAGUCCACGCCGUAAACGAUGAGUGCUAAGUGUUAGGGGGUUUCCGCCCCUUAGUGCUGCAGCUAACGCAUUAAGCACUCCGCCUGGGGAGUACGACCGCAAGGUUGAAACUCAAAGGAAUUGACGGGGACCCGCACAAGCGGUGGAGCAUGUGGUUUAUUUCGAAGCAACGCGAAGAACCUUACCAAAUCUUGACAUCCUCUGACCCCUCUAGAGA
rnacentral:rRNA from 1 species